AUUCUUUUCUGGUUCAUAAGCCUAAUGAAUGGGUUCUUACAUGCUUGGGUGACAUGUUCCUCCCUCUAAAACCUUGUUACAACAUGGGCACAUUAGUCAACUUGAAG